rnacentral:lncRNA from 1 species
CAGACAAGCAGGAAGUGACAUAGCUGGGCAGAAACAAGAUAUAAGCAGGGACAAACAGGAAAUCGCUCUCUUCUCUAUGGAGAUGCUUGGGAGGAAGGAGAGGAAGGCGUGUGGAGGGACUUAGCCCAGGCUCACACAACAUGCAAUCAUCGGCCCGGGACUUCUAUCCAGAAAUGUACUAUGCCCUUCCGCCCUCUGCAUUCACGUAGACUCUGCCUGUGGAACAAAUGGUUGAUCUACAACAAUAUUGAGGAACAACAAGCACUUGAAGAAGAAAACAGUGCCAGGAACCACCUGUUACUUUGCAUGGAAAAGAGCUCAUGAGUUCUUAGAAUGUGGGGUAUAUAGUGCUUUUUUUUAUUUGAAUUAGAAACAAGAUUGGUACUGCUUUUUAAUCUAUGUAUUAUAGAAAGUUUUCAAAAUCAUACUUUCUUCUGAAUGCCUUGCAACAAAUUCCAUCAAUUAAAUCUGUUUCAUCUGUAAAUAUUUCAAACAUGUGUAUUUCACAUAUGUAUGUUUGUAACAUGUGACAUGAAUCUUACUAUCACACUCAAAACCCCCCACAGUCCCCCUUUAAUGCCCCCAAGACCUCUAUGUUUAG